rnacentral:rRNA from 1 species
GGUCAGGAUGAACGCUGGCGGCGCGCCUAACACAUGCAAGUCGAACGGUGAAGUCCUCGGGGCGGAUCAGUGGCGGACGGGUGAGUAACGCGUGAGUAACCUGCCCUUACGAGCGGAAUAACGUCCGGAAACAGACGCUAAUACCGCAUGACACGUGCUUCCGGCAUCGGAGGCACGUCAAAGAUUUAUCGCGUAAGGAUGGACUCGCGUCCCAUUAGAUAGUUGGCGGGGCAACGGCCACCAAGUCAGCGAUGGGUAGCCGGACUGAGAGGUUGAACGGCCACAUUGGAACUGAGAGACGGUCCAGACUCCUACGGGAGGCAGCAGUGGGGAAUAUUGGGCAAUGGGCGAAAGCCUGAACCCCCAGCGACGCCGCGUGAGCGAAGAAGGUCUUCGGAUUGUAAAGCUCUGUUGACAGGGACGAAAAAAUGACGGUACCUGUCGAGGAAGCCACGGCUAACUACGUGCCAGCCGCCGC